ensembl:lncRNA
GUCCUUAUUUUUUUUUCCUUCCCCAGUGGAAGGAAGGAAGGAAGGAAGGAAGGAAGGAAGGAAGGAAGGAAGGAAGGAAGGAAGGAAGGAAGGAAGGAAGGAAGGAAGGAAGGAAGGAAGGAAGGAAGGAAGGAAGGAAGGAAGGAAGGAAGGAAGGAAGGAAGGAAGGAAGGAAGGAAGGAAGGAAGGAAGGAAGGAAGGAAGGAAGGAAGGAAGGAAGGAAGGAAGGAAGGAAGGAAGGAAGGAAGGAAGGAAGGAAGGAAGGAAGGAAGGAAAGAAGAAAGAAAGAAAGAAAGAAAGAAAGAAAGAAAGAAAGAAAGAAAGAAAGAAAGAAAGAAAAGAAAAGGAGGGAGGGAGGAAGGAAGGAAGGAAGGAAGGAAGGAAGGAAGGAAGGAAGGAAGGAAGGAAGGAAGGAAGGAAGGAAAGAAGAAAGAGAAGAAAGAAAGAAAGAGAAGAAAGAAAGAAAGAAAGAAAGAAAGAAAGAAGAAAGAAAGAAAAGAAAAGGAGGGAGGGAGGAAGGAAGGAAGGAAGGAAGGAAGGAAGGAAGGAAGGAAGGAAGGAAGGAAAGAAGAAAGAAAGAAGAAAGAGAAGAAAGAAAGAAAAGAAAAGGAGGGAGGGAGGAAGGAAGGAAGGAAAGAAGAAAGAAAGAAAGAAAGAAAGAAAGAAAGAAAGAAAGAAAGGAAGGAAGGAAGGAAAGGAAAAAGAAAGGGAGAAAGAAAGAAAAGGAGGGAAGAAGGGAGGAAGGAAGGAAGGAAGGAAAGAAGAAAGAAAGAAAGAAAGAAAGAAAGAAAAGAAAGAAAGAAAAGAAAGAAAGAAAGAAAAGAAAGAAAGAAAGAAAGAAGAAAGAAGAAAGAAAAGGAGGGAGGGAGGGAGGGAGGGAGGGAGGAAGGAAGGAAGGAAGGAAGGAAGGAAGGAAGGAAAGAAGAAAGAAAAGAAAGAAAGAAAAGAAAAGACAGGAAAAUUCAUACAAGGACUAAGCCCUUGAUUGUAUUAACUAUUGUUAAUAAUUUCAGCAUAAUAAUGAAAUUACUUUUAUAUUUUAUAUACACUGAAAUGCUUAUAAACAAAAUAUAA